UCAAAAAAAAAAAAAAAAGAAAGGAUAGAGAUGAGGUUGGCUUAUCUGACUUUGGGGCCAAGAAAGAUUUGGUAGCAAUUGGAUGGACCUUUGUAGCUUUUAAACAACUAGAUUAGGAUUAAGCUUCUUUGUUUUUUAGGUCAGUUAAAUUUAUUAUGUGAUCCAUUAAGCUAUGUGGAGUUUGAAAUCAUGUCUUUGGAUUUGCUUUUGUUAAGAAUAGUAUUGUUGUAAGCGCACAUUUCCAUGCAUGGCAGUCAUUAGUUUAUGGAGUAACAUUGCUGUGAUCGCAUGUCUCUUAUGAAAUAGUUUGUUCUUGUUUCAGGUGUGUACGGGUGCAAAAAGUGAACAGCAGUCAAAAUUGGCAGCAAGG
rnacentral:misc_RNA from 1 species